GGAGAAGGAGGAGGAGGAGAAAGAAGCAAAGAAGCGCAAACGUCUUGCAGAUGGCUUCUUUGAUUUAUUGCAAUCUGUGAAGGAAAUCACUUCAUCUUCAGCAUGGGAGGAGUGCAAACAUCUUCUUGAAAACAGUCCAGAAUUCAGUUCCAUUAGGGAUGAAGCCUCCUGCAAGGAGAUAUUUGAGGAAUAUGUAAAACAGUUGAAAGGAGAUGCAAAAGAGAAGGAACGAAGACGGAAGGAAGACAAGAUCGAUUUGAAUCAAGUCGAAUCAUUUGAUUUUCUUUUGAAUUUCGGUUUAAUCUUAAAUGUGUGGCUUAUCGUUAGUCUAUUCUUUGCGUGUGCUUGAGGCAAAGAAAGAAAAAGAGAGAGAAGAGAGGGAGUGGAGGAAGUCGAAGCAUGGAAGGGACAUAAAGAGAGGAUACGAAAGAGAAGGAGGAACACUCGAGGGAGGGACCUUCAGAUGCGCAUGUUGGUACAGGUGAAUUUCACGAUGAAAACGAACAUAAACGGUCAGGAAAAGACGACAAUAAGAGAAAUCAUAAACGACAUCGAAGUUCAGUGGAUAACACGAAUGAAAGUGAAAAAGAUCGGACCAAGUCUCACAGGCAUAGCAGUGAUCACAGGAGAUCAAAAAAGCAUGCUCGAUGCCCGAAUCCGAUAGCGAAACCAGGCAUAAGAAACAUAGGCGAGACCAUCGGAACGGUUCCCGUAGAGAGGCCGAUCCCAAGGAGCUUGAAGAUGGAGAGUUUGGUGAGAGGGAGAGUCAGUAGUAGUAGCAGCAGGUAUGUUUUUAGCUCCUCUUUGUUUAUCAUGCUUAAUGUAUUUCAACAAUGAAAGGUGGUCUGUUUUUAGCAUUUUUAAAAUUUGAUGGUAGUGGCAAAUGUUGGGAAUUUCAUGUUCUUGUUUUAUUUUAAUAUUUUUUUUUAAAAAAAAUUGA